rnacentral:rRNA from 1 species
GUAGGUGGCAAGCGUUGUCCGGAAUUAUUGGGCGUAAAGCGCGCGCAGGCGGUUCUUUAAGUCUGAUGUGAAAGCCCACGGCUCAACCGUGGAGGGUCAUUGGAAACUGGAGAACUUGAGUACAGAAGAGGAAAGCGGAAUUCCACGUGUAGCGGUGAAAUGCGUAGAGAUGUGGAGGAGCACCAGUGGCGAAGGCGGCUUUCUGGUCUGUAACUGACGCUGAGGCGCGAAAGCGUGGGGAGCAAACAGGGAUUAGAUACCCUGGUAGUCCACGCCGUAAACGAUGAGUGCUAAGUGUUAGGGGGGUUUCCGCCCCCUUAGUGCUGCAGCUAACGCAUUAAGCACUCCGCCUGGGGAGUACGGCCGCAAGGCUG